CCUACGGGUGGCAGCAGUGGGGGAUAUUGCACAAUGGGGGAAACCCUGAUGCAGCGACGCAGCGUGAGUGAAGAAGUAUUUCGGUAUGUAAAGCUCUAUCAGCAGGGAAGAAAAUGACAGUACCUGACCAAGAAGCCCCGGCUAACUACGUGCCAGCAGCCGCGGGAAUACGUAGGGGGCAAGCGUUAUCCGGAUUUACUGGGUGGAAAGGGAGCGUAGACGGUUAUGUAAGUCUGGAGUGAAAGCCCGGGGGCCAACCCCGGGACUGCUUUGGAUACUGUGUAACUGGAGUACAGGAGAGGCAGGCGGAAUUCCUGGUGUAGCGGUGAAAUGCGUAGAUAUCAGGAGGAACACCGGCGGCGAAGGCGGCCUGCUGGACUGAAACUGACGCUGAGGCUCGAAAGCGUGGGGAGCAAACAGGAUUAGAUACCCGGGUAGUC
rnacentral:rRNA from 1 species